rnacentral:rRNA from 1 species
UGAAUACGAGAUGCUACGGCAUUGAAGCAGUGUAUGUCAGACUUCCAAGAAAAGCUCGCAAUGUCAUAAACAAUAAAUGCCUGUACCAUAACCGACACAGGUGGGUAGGUAGAGUAUACUAAGGGGCGCGAGAUAACUCUCUCUAAGGAACUCGGCAAAAUGACUCCGUAACUUCGGGAGAAGGAGUGCCUUAUUUUAUAAGGUUGCAAUAACAAGAUCCAAGCAACUGUUUACCAAAAACACAGGUCUCCGCUAAGUCGAAAGACGAUGUAUGGGGGCUGACGCCUGCCCAGUGCCAGAAGGUUAAAGAAGUUGGUUAGCUUCGGCGAAGCUGAUGACUGAAGCCCUGGUGAACGGCGGCCGUAACGAUAACGGUCCUAAGGUAGCGAAAUUCCUUGUCGGGUAAGUUCCGACCCGCACGAAAGGCGUAAUGAUUUGGAUACUGUCUCGGAGAGGGGCUCGGUGAAAUAGACUUGUCUGUGAAGAUGCGGACUACCUGCACCUGGACAGAAAGACCCUAUGAAGCUUUACUGUAACUUGAGAUUGAAAUUGGACUUUAUUUGCGCAGUAUAGGUGGGAGACGUUGAGAAUAUUCUUGCGGGAAUAUUGGAGUCAUCAGUGAGAUACCACUCUUGUAAUGUUAGAUUUCUAACUUUGUAUCAUUAUCUGGUCAAAGGACAGUUUCAGCGGGCAGUUUGACUGGGGCGGUCGCCUCCUAAACGGUAACGGAGGCGCACAAAGGUUUCCUCUGAACGUGUAGAAAUCGUAUCUAGAGUGUAAAGGCAUAAGGAAGCUUGACUGUGAGACCUACAAGUCGAGCAGGGACGAAAGUCGGUCUUAGUGAUCUGACGGUGCUGAGUGGAAAGGCCGUCACUCAACGGAUAAAAGUUACUCUAGGAUAACAGGCUGAUCUCCCCCAAGAGUUCACAUCGACGGGGAGGUUUGGCACCUCGAUGUCGGCUCAUCGCAUCCUGGGGCGGUAGUACGUCCCAAGGGUUGGGCUGUUCGCCCAUGAAAGCGGUACGCGAGCUGGGUUCAGAACGUCGUGAGACAGUUCGGUCCAUAUCCGGUGUAGGCGUUAGAAUAUUGAGAGGAGCCUUCUUUAGUACGAGAGGACCGAGAAGGACAUACCUCUGGUGUACCAGUUAUCGUGCCAACGGUAAACGCUGGGUAGCUAUGUAUGGAGUGGAUAACCGCUGAAAGCAUCUAAGUGGGAAGCCCACCUCAAGAUAAG